ACAGCAGCCGCCACGGUAAUGCGAAGGGGGCUAGCGUUGUUCGGAUUUACUGGGCGUAAAGGGCGCGUAGGCGGGCGAAUAAGUCAGGGGUGAAAUCCCAAGGCUCAACCUUGGAACUGCCUUUGAUACUGUUUGUCUUGAGUUCGAGAGAGGUAAGUGGAACUGCGAGUGUAGAGGUGAAAUUCGUAGAUAUUCGCAAGAACACCAGUGGCGAAGGCGGCUUACUGGCUCGAAACUGACGCUGAGGCGCGAAAGCGUGGGGAGCAAACAGGAUUAGAUACCCGCGUAGUCCCUGUCUCUUAUAC
rnacentral:rRNA from 1 species